rnacentral:rRNA from 1 species
CUGGUUGAUCCUGCCAGUAGUCAUAUGCUUGUCUCAAAGAUUAAGCCAUGCAUGUCUAAGUGCAAGCCAAAUUAAGGUGAAACCGCGAAAGGCUCAUUAUAUCAGUUAUGGUUCAAUAGAUCGUACUCAGUUACAUGGAUAACUGCGGAAAUACUGGAGCUAAUACAUGCCAACAGAGUCCCGACCGGUGACGGAAGGGACGCUUUUAUUAGAUCAAAACCAAUCGGUCGCUUCGGCGAUCGUGCAGUCUUGGUGACUCUGAAUAACUUUGGGCUGAUCGCACGGCCUCCGUGCCGGCGACGCAUCUUUCAAAUGUCUGCCUUAUCAACUGUCGAUGGUAGGUUCUGCGCCUACCAUGGUUGUAACGGGUAACGGGGAAUCAGGGUUCGAUUCCGGAGAGGGAGCCUGAGAAACGGCUACCACAUCCAAGGAAGGCAGCAGGCGCGCAAAUUACCCACUCCCGGCUCGGGGAGGUAGUGACGAAAGAUAACGAUACGGGACUCAUCCGAGGCCCCGUAAUCGGAAUGACUACACUUUAAAUCCUUUAAGGAGUAUCAAUGAGAGGGCAAGUCUGGUGCCAGCAGCCGCGG